UACAUGGGGUGCAAACGUUGCUCGGAAUCAUUGGGCGUAAAGCGCGCGUAGGCGGUUAUCUAAGUCGGAUGUGAAAGCCCUCGGCUUAACUGAGGAAGUGCAUCCGAAACUGAAUAGCUAGAGUACGAAAGAGGGUCGCGGAAUUCCCGGUGUAGAGGUGAAAUUCGUAGAUAUCGGGAGGAACACCGGUGGCGAAGGCGGCUACCUGGACAGAAACUGACGCUGAGGCGCGAAAGCUAGGGGAGCAAACAGG
rnacentral:rRNA from 1 species